UAGCCGUAAACGAUACUCGCUAGGUGUCGGCCACGGUGCGACCGUUGUCGGUGCCGUAGGGAAGCCGUGAAGCGAGCCACCUGGGAAGUACGGCCGCAAGGCUGAAACUUAAAGGAAUUGGCGGGGGAGCACAACAACGGGUGGAGCUUGCGGUUUAAUUUGGAUUCAACGCCGGAAAUCUUACCGGGACCGACAGCAACAUGAAGGCCAAGCUGAAGACUUUGCCGGAUUAGCUGAGAGGAGGUGCAUGGCGUAGUCGUGU
rnacentral:rRNA from 1 species